rnacentral:rRNA from 1 species
CCCUUAGAUGUCCUGGGCCGCACGCGCGUUACACUGAUGCAUUCAACGAGCUUAUAAACUUGGCCGAGAGGCCUGGGCAAUCUUGUUAACGUGCAUCGUGAUAGGGAUAGAUUAUUGAAAUUAUUAAUCUUGAACGAGGAAUUCCUAGUAAACGCAGAUCAUCAAUCUGCAUUGAUUACGUCCCUGCCCUUUGUACACACCGCCCGUCGCACCUACCGAUUGGAUGGUCCGGUGAAGCCUCGGGAUUGUGGUUCUUGCCGCUUUAUUGUGGCGUGACCGCGAGAACUUGUCUAAACCUUAUCAUCUAGAGGAAGGUGAAGUCGUAACA